UGAACGCUAGCGGCAGGCCUAACACAUGCAAGUCGAACGGUAACAGUUCCUUCGGGAAGCUGACGAGUGGCGCACGGGUGCGUAACGCGUAUACAAUCUACCUUUUACAGGGGGAUAGCCUUUAGAAAUGAAGAUUAAUAUCCCAUAGUAAGUAGUUGUGGCAUCACAACAACUUUAAAGUUACGGCGGUAAAAGAUGAGUAUGCGUUCUAUUAGCUAGAUGGAGUGGUAACGGCACCCCAUGGCGACGAUAGAUAGGGGCCCUGAGAGGGGGAUCCCCCACACUGGUACUGAGACACGGACCAGACUCCUACGGGAGGCAGCAGUGAGGAAUAUUGGACAAUGGGCGCGAGCCUGAUCCAGCCAUGCCGCGUGCAGGAAGACUGCCCUAUGGGUUGUAAACUGCUUUUAUACAGGAAGAAACCCACCUACGAGUAGGUGUUUGACGGUACUGUAAGAAUAAGGAUCGGCUAACUCC
rnacentral:rRNA from 1 species